CACGUAGGCACCAAGCGUUGUCCGGAUUUAUUGGGCGUAAAGAGCUCGUAGGCGGCUCGAUAAGUCGGGUGUGAAAACUUUGGGCUCAACCCAAAGCGUGCAUUCGAUACUGUUGUGACUAGAGUUCGGUAGGGGAGUGGGGAAUUCCUAGUGUAGCGGUGAAAUGCGCAGAUAUCAGGAGGAACACCGGUGGCGAAGGCGGGUCUCUGGGCCGAUACUGACGCUGAGGAGCGAAAGCGUGGGGAGCGAACAGG
rnacentral:rRNA from 1 species